rnacentral:rRNA from 1 species
CGGGGGGGCAAGCGUUGUUCGGAAUUACUGGGCGUAAAGGGCUCGUAGGCGGCCAACUAAGUCAGACGUGAAAUCCCUCGGCUUAACCGGGGAACUGCGUCUGAUACUGGAUGGCUUGAGUUCGGGAGAGGGAUGCGGAAUUCCAGGUGUAGCGGUGAAAUGCGUAGAUAUCUGGAGGAACACCGGUGGCGAAGGCGGCAUCCUGGACCGAUACUGACGCUGAGGAGCGAAAGCUAGGGGAGCAAAACGGGAUUAGAUACCCCGGUAGUCCUAGCCCAAAACGAUGAAUGCUUGGUGUGGCGGGUAUCGAUCCCUGCCGUGCCGAAGCUAACGCAUUAAGCAUUCCGCCUGGGGAGUACGGUCGCAAGGCUG